rnacentral:lncRNA from 1 species
GGCUCUGUAGACCUGCUCCACAGGUAGAAAAGAAGGACCCAAUCACAAUGACCCACGGAGAGGGCCAUGAAAGGGUGCCCACCACCAAGUUCUUGUUCACUGCAUCACCGUACUUAUCUCUUAGGACUACACCUUCUAUGCAGGCUCCAAAUAACAACACACAACUGAAGUAGACUAAUGAUGUGGUGACAAUAGCAAGAAUCGUGCCAACAGGAAUGGAUUUUUGUGCAUCUUUGAG